rnacentral:rRNA from 1 species
UACGAAGGGGGCUAGCGUUGCUCGGAAUGACUGGGCGUAAAGGGCGCGUAGGCGGUGGACACAGUCAGGCGUGAAAUUCCUGGGCUCAACCUGGGGGCUGCGUUUGAUACGUGUUUGCUAGAGUGGGGAAGAGGGUCGUGGAAUUCCCAGUGUAGAGGUGAAAUUCGCAGAUAUUGGGAAGAACACCGGUGGCGAAGGCGGCGACCUGGUCCUUGACUGACGCUGAGGCGCGAAAGCGUGGGGAGCAAACAGG